GGGGAUAUAGCUCAGUGGUAGAGUGUGUGCUUAGCAUACACAAGGUCCUGGGUUCAAUCCCCAGUAUCUCCA
rnacentral:tRNA from 1 species